UACGGAGGGAGCUAGCGUUGUUCGGAAUUACUGGGCGUAAAGCGCACGUAGGCGGCUUUGUAAGUUAGAGGUGAAAAGCCCGGGGCUCAACUCCGGAACUGCCUUUAAGACUGCAUCGCUUGAAUCCAGGAGAGGUGAGUGGGAAUUCCGAGUGUAGAGGUGAAAAUUCGUAGAUAUUCGGAAGAACACCAGUGGCGAAGGCGGCUCACUGGACUGGUAUUGACGCUGAGGUGGCGAAAGCGUGGGGAGCAACAGG
rnacentral:rRNA from 1 species